UUUAAAUGAAUUAAUAAUGGUUAAUAUGAACAGUAGCAACUUUUCAUUCUUUUGUGAACUAAGACAUCAUUCUAUUCUUUCUGGUAAUAAAAUUUUUCUUCAGUAAGCAUAAGUGUAUCUCAGGAGAAGCUGGAAUUCACAGGUGGGGAGUCCAACUAAUGCAGCCAAACAGACUGUUGAAUUCUAGCACACUGAAGGAGGAAUUUUCUCCCGGUUGGUUAUACAACAUUUGUAUCAAAAGAAUAUGGCUGGCUAUUUUGUCAGUCUUUUUUUUUCAAAUGGGCACUAUCGUGUAACUUAUCACAGUUAGUGAUAUGUGAAUUCUCAAAGUCUUCUCAAAAUUAAAAUUUAUUUCCAAAUUAUUUCCCCAAACAAAAAGUUGUUUCAAAAGGAAGAUUGUUGACAUUCUAUUUUUAAUUGCUCUCACACUCCAUUAGAAGGGGUGGUACAGCUGAAAAUAAGGUUGCCUCCAGGCAGAAUGGUGGCAAGGGCUUUAUCUUUAGCUGUGGGAGACCCCUGUCUCCUCCUUUUUUAGCUCUGACAUUUAAUUACCUCUUGUUAUUCGAUGGCUGCGCAAUGUGACCUUUCUAUCCCUUAUCUUCUAAAAUGUACUUUUCUUCUGAGCUUUAAUAUUUCAAAUUCUUUCUUUUUGUCUCCAUGUGGCUUUGAGCCUGAAUCUAACCAGACCAUCGAAUGGAAAUGUGAAGAGUCCACAGCCAGUUUAAUAGUUUAAUCUUCCAGUGUGGGUUUUCUUCUGUGAAAACGCCUCAUAAAAACAUCCAAAAGUGUGCCUCGUGUUUCUGGCCAGGCUCUAAGGAUGUACAGACAUAAAGAUGUAUUUCUCUGCGACCGUUUCUCAGGAAGCUCUCUGCAUGUCCCUCUUCAUCUCAGAAGCCAAUUCCAUGGAACCCGAUCUAAAACAGAUGGAGAUGACAUUCAUGUCGUUUAUAAACACUUAGCCAGAGUAAUCUGGAGGAUGUUUUCAGUAAUAAAUUCAGAGUCACACUUUGAACACGAAAACAAGUAUCUUUUCUUUAUUCCCUCGCCUAUUCUAAACAGAUUCUUCAGUAAUUUGAACAAGAUCUAGUCUGUAUUAUGUUAAAGAGAGUUUUAAAAAUAAACUCCACAUUAAUAAUUUGAAAGUCUAUUUUCUCAGUUUUGUAAUUUUUCCUUACUGAUACUGAUUGAUGAUACAACAUAAUUUCAAAUAUAAAAGAAUAUUCCAUUACUGUUGCUUCUUUAAUUAUCCUCACCCACAACUCCCAUCACCAUGAGAGCAGAGCUAUUGACUUACGAUUAUUUAUCUUACAGAAUAAGACUGAAUAUAUACUUGAUACAUAAUUGUUUGCUUUAACUGAUGAAUCACUGGCUCAAUUUACAUAAAAAAUCAAUUCCUUUGCACAUUUUUUCUUAAACUCAAACUUUAAAACUUUUUGACACAAAUUCACAUUAAUUCAACUUCUCCAAAAUGCGUAGCUUUAAUCCAUACAUUCUUGAAAAAACCCUUCACACAAAAACAAAAAAUAUCAUUAUCAAAUGCAUAUCUGUGGCUUAAAUUACAACUCAUACUUGUAGUAAAUUCUUUGUGGUAACAUCAUAUAUGCCAUAAAGUAACACAGGGCUGUGAUGAUAAUUAUGUGCUAUAAACGUGCUUUUGCAUGGGAACUCUGACCUGAUAUGUGAGGCUCACACCCUCUCUACUAUUGGCAUAGCAUCUACAAUUCCUGUUUGGUCGGGCUGAACCUCUUAUAAUGUCUUAAUUCACUUUUUAAAGUUUUUGUGGUGAAAGGAAGUCUUACUUUUAAAUUCUGAAUAUAUCCUACUUAAAUUGAAACAAAAGACAUUCUUUUACAAUUACUAACAUCUUUUAGAUAUUAAAACAGCAAGAUGUUUGACAUUCUGUUUUCAAGAGACUAUAAAUGAAAGUGUUACUGAAAAUAUAGAUAGCUUUACUUGUUUACAGAAACAUUUUUAUGCCUUUCUUUCUCUCUCACACAUACACAUACAAACACACUCACGGACUAUACUAUCUUAUAGUAUACAAUAGUUUACAAAUUUCUGGGGUUCAAAAUUUGAUAUUUUCAUAAUUAUUUGAAGUAUUUAUUAAACAAAUUUUAAUGUUGCAAAGAUUCUGGUUCAGAAAGAUGGUGUUAGGCUUGGGUUCAAUGAUUUUUCCCAAAACCUCUGAUUUUUGUCAGAAGGUAAUGGCCCUGUAAAGAAUUUGAUAUGAGUAUGUCUAUAUAAUUAUUUUUAUAACAGUGAAUAUACCAGCAGUGCCUAAUUUUAUGGUCCAACACAUUGCAGUAUGGGCUUCUUUCAUACUGAGAUCAUAGAGAUCAUAUAAUACAUCCUGAUAUUCUUUCUAUAUUGGGGCUUAAAGAAUGUUUUCCUUCUAGGAGUUUUUUAGAAAAAAAUAAAGUUUAGUUGUCAUUCUUCACUACUGAGCUGGAUAAUUUAAACAAAUUCCUUUUUUACUUGGUAAUUUCCUUAUUGGAUGAGUAACUGAUGACCUGGGGCCCUUACUGAGGGUAGGCACUUAGGACAGGAAAGAGAGAGAACAUCCUUUCAAAACAGCAGCAGAAAUAAAACUAUAGCAAUGCUGUAAGAACAAACUCAUAGGGAGGCGGAGCUGUAGAGUUGGC
rnacentral:lncRNA from 1 species